CCCUACACCCCGCUGUCCAGAGCUUCAUGGAGCAGGGCUGCCAGCUCUAGGGCCGAAGACAAAAAUGGCCUAAACUGGGCUGAAUGGGGACCGGGGGGGCGGCCGGCCAGCAGGGGGAGAGGGAACUGCCGAAGACUCCCCUCGGUUAGCUGUUUUGUUUAGGUUCCACUUCAAAAUAAUCUCAGACACGGAUAAACACAGGCCAGGCAUGGCUAGGAUUCUUGGCGGCAAUUGAUGCAUUUUCAUGCAGUGGCACUAUUAGGCCUAAUGGUGGCAGCAGAGACCUGAAGUAACUGUAGAAUUUCAGAACUGAAGCCAAGAAAUCUCAAGAUGUUUGUCAAACUUUCCACAGUAUCACAGCCUCACAGCACAUCACUAAAACGAAAGCCAGAAACAACCUAGUUCCUCUUAAACCCCAUAUACCAACCUGCACAAAAAGUUACUUCACACUGCAAAACAGUAGCUGGAGGACUUGGGAGGAAAGAUUGGAAGACGGGCCUGGGACGUCAGGAGACUGAGGUGAUGAUGAAAGCAUCCAAGCUGAAAUGUAAUUGAGAGGGAUAACUGGGCCAGAAAAUUGGCUUUGCCUUCGCUUUCCUGACAAUUGGAGGGGGUGGGUGACACAUGCCCCCAAAGCAGCUGUGUCCUGUUUUUUUUCUGGCACUUGGCAAUCCUAGGACCUAUGCUCCAAUAAGUAUUAUGAAUAAUUUCUAUACCACUUCCAGUACGCAAAGCCUUAGAGUUCUUAUCUUCAAAGCAAGUCAUUCAGGGGUAUUAGCGGGAGAGAGAAUGAUUAUUCCAGGGCCAUCUAUCAGCUACACAGUUAAGCAGACAUGUUUCCUGUGCUUCUCUGUUGCAUUUCACUGGAUCCUCCCCAGAGAAAUUCAUUAAUCUGAUACAGGUUUCUUCUGAAAAACAUUCAAAUGCUAAAUCAACAAAACGUCCAAAUAAUUUGCUUAACACACGACUUCACAAGCUACUUCCAUACGGGAAUUUAAGCAACAAGUGCAACAGCAGCACACACCCAUAUGGUAAUGAAAUACCAUUUACAUACAGGUCAAAUGGUGAACAACAAGCCAUGACAAAUUCACACCUGCUCAACACAGCAAGUUAUCGCCAUCAUAGAAAGUUUCAACAUAUUGUCACAUUCACAGUUUUGAGCCGAUCAAGAAAGUUUCAAGUCACACUUCGUAACUUGUGAAAUUAAUCCCGAUUUCAAGAUUGCCUGUUUCAGAUAUUAGCCUCAGAUCUGGCUGGGUAAAAGUCUUAACAUCUCCAGACUGGGAGACUCACAUGAAGACCUGCAUAUUAAGACAGAUCAUUAAGCUGUGCAAUAUAUGUUAGGAAAGUAUCAGCUCUUGCUUGAACCUAAAAGCUCUGACAGCUUUUAAAAUGUCUUCAAAAACACAUUUCUUCACCCAGGCUUUUAAUUAAUGUUUUAAUGGUUUUAAUGCUAUUUUAAAAAUUUUAAAUUGUUGUAAUGUGCAUGCCCCCCCCCCCAUUUUGUCUUAACGAAUGUUUUAUUUUGUUUUUAUUCUGUUGUAAACCGCCCAGAGACGUACGUUUUGGGCGGUAUAAAAAUGUUUUAAUAAAUAAAUAAAUAAAUAAAUAAAUAAAAUACAAAUAAAAUGUUUUACAAUGAUUCCAA